rnacentral:lncRNA from 10 species
CUGGUGGUUGAAUUUACACUAAUGUAAAAUUCCAGCAAAUUUCCAAGGAGGGCAUGGGUUUUAGUCCAAGCAAUGAUAAUGCAUAAUAAUAGUCAAUGUUUGGCUAUUUACAGAACAUAGACCCUUCCCUUCCCUGCAGAGAUGUAAGGCCCUCAGGUGGGCCCCUGGACAGGUAUUUGAGGCAACCUAGUCUCGUGCACUCCGUGGCUCUGACCCGGAAGACAGCAUGCAUUUAUUAUCAUAACCUUUUUCAGAAACCCACUAACCACAUUUCUAUAUCUCCAUGGCUAAGGCCAAAAUGUAAUUAAAAAAUAAAGUUUUGGCUGGGUACAGUGGCUCAUGCCUGUAACCCCAGCAUUUUGGGAGGCCAAGGAGGGAAGAUCAAUCUAGCUCAGGAGCUUAAGAUCAGUGAAACCUUGUCUCUACAAAAAACACAAAAAUUAGCUGGGUGUGGUGGCGCACACCUGUGGUCCCAGCUACUGAAGAGGUGGAGGUGGAGGCUUGCUUGAGCCCAGGAGGUUGAGGCUACAGUGAGCUGUGAUCAUACCACCACACUCCAGCCUGGGCAACAGAAUGAGACGCCAUCUUAAAAAAAAAAAAAAAAGUUCCUCUACUAAAUUUUAUUUUUUUAAUUUAAUUUUAUUUUUUUAGUAGAGACACGGUUUCACCAUGUUGCCCAGGCUGGUAUCCAACUCCUGAGCUCGGGCAAUCUGCCCGCCUCGGCCUCCCAAAUUGCUGAGAUUAUAGGCAUGAGCCACUGCGCCCAGCCUCUCUACUAAAUGUUAAUAUCAUUUAAGUGGUUUUGCUUUUUUUACCUUUUAAUUUAAAUAAACAGCCAAUUCUGCUCAUUGAAGCCCUCUCUGUAGCACUUGGCUGUUUUGUAAAAAUAGUGAGCUGAUGACAAAUUGAAAGGAACAUGAAAUGGAAACUUAUUUUCUGGGGGCUCUAGGACGUCAGCCACGUUCUCGAUUUAGAAGGGAAGUCAGCUGGUGCCAAGUUGAAUGUGCUCAGUACCUGUUUGUCACCGUCCCCUUCCUGGAAAAAGCCCAACAAGUCUGGGGUUAGUUGUGGCUUCAGCUGGCAAAUGUGCACACAAGCACUAGAUGUCACCAUCCUUCCAAAAGAUGUCAUGCAGAAAGUCAGCAGCGCACAGAAUCUCCCCUGCUGUGGCCUGUUAGGACAGUGGGGGCAGUCCAUGGGGAGGUCCAGCCCCCGUCCCUGACACAGCAGGGGCUCCUAAAGCUGCCACCUCCGCAGCAGGCCCUGGCGGGGGUGGGCGGGAGGCUGCGCUCACUUGGACUCCCGUCCCUCGGACUCCCGUCCGUUCUGCCUCUGCUCCUGCCUGCUCUUCUGGCUCCAGCCAGCACGUUGGCUUUCCAGCUUCAGGGCUCGAGUCCAUGUCCCUUUCUGGCUCUGCUUCCUGCUUCCUCUGGAUGGACGGUGUCUUGCCAGGAGCUGAGCCCACCACCUGUGUCAUGUCCUGCUGUGGGCCCCACCCCACACACCUGUCGACUGAACCAGACCCUCGGGAGGGCCCCAGGGACCUGAGUCAAUCCUCCUGAAGGCUGACCCCUCGGACAGGGCCGGCCUUGGUGACCUUAAGCCACCCAGGGUGACAGCAACCUUUCAUGGAGAGGCCACUCCAGGAAGGUGUUUACACUCCCGUUUCACAGGGAAAAAAUCCAGACGGAGGGAAGGAGUGGCAUGCCUGUGGCCAUCCAUCCUGUCCCUCCCUCGGGGAUCCUGCAGCCAAGCACUGGGCGUGCUGCCUCCUGCAUUUCCAGGCCGCCUGUGAGGACAGCACUCCCAUUCUCCUCUGAGGCUCUGCUCCUGGCCUACCCUCUCCCCUGGACAGGAGCCCAGUGUUCUUGAUAAAAGCUGAAGCCACACGUGACAAAAGAAGCAGGAGUGUCUGCUCUCAAAGGGUUUUUGUGCAACACAGAUCACUCUUCCCCCAAAGCACGUAAGUUAAAGGAGUGAGCACAUCCCAUCUCCUCAUCCUAAAAGUGGCAAUAUCCACAUUUAUAAUAUGUGAUCAUGUAAUUAUUAUAAUGAGGAUUAAUAAUUAACAUACACUUUGGGAGGCCAAGGGUGGUGGAUUCCUUGAGGUCAGGAGUUCAAAACCAGCCUGGCCAACAUGGUGAAACUCCGUCUCUACUAAAAAUACAAAAAUCAGCAUGGUGGUAUGCACCUGUAAUCCCAGCCACUCGGGAGGCUGAGGCAGGAGAAUCACUUGAACCCAGGAGGCAGAGGAUGCAAUGAGCCAAGGUUGCACCACUGCACUCCGCCUGGGCAACAGAGCGAGACUCCGUCUCAAAAAAAAUAAUAAUAAAAUAAUUAACAUAGGCCGGGUGCAGUGGUGCACACCAUGGCAAAACCCUAUCUCUACAAAAAAUAUAAAAAUUAGCUGGCUAUGGUGGUGCGCACCUGUGAUAGCAGCUACUCUGGAGGCUAAGGUGGGAGGAUGGCUUGAGCCCAGGAGGCAGAGGUUCCAGUGAGACACUGCACUCCAGCCUGGGUGACAGAGCAAGACUCUGUCUCAAAAAAAUUAACAUAAUGAUAAUAAUAAAUUGCAUGACAUCUAUCCAUAGUUACAGUAAUAUCUACCUCUAAAAGCUGUAAUAUUAUCCCAAGGUGUGACGCAGACACUUGGAUGGAAGCAGAGGAGACCAUGGUUCCCACAGGGGACUCAGCCAACAGCAAAGGAAGGAGCUUCCACAUUUCUAACCCCGCAACCCGGCACAGCUGCCCACACACAGAGGUGCUCAAUACAAAAGUGCGGACCCCAGGGUUGGAGGCUGAUGGGAUGAAGGCAGCUCAUGAGCCACAGGCUAACCUAAUCUGGCUGUUCUCCUCUCCCCGUUGUGCCACGGGCCACAGCCCACAGCCUCCCACCCCGGCCCCAUCACAGAGACCCAGAGUGGGAACAAAGACUCCACCCACCAGUUCUGGGUGAAAGGCAGAGCCCAGCCUGUAGAACGGUCCUUCCCCUCAGAGAGAGGAGAUAAACCCAGGCCUGGAAGAGAGGGGCUUGGAGGAAGGGAGGCCCUGGCUUUCAUCUGAAAGCUGCCGGCAGGGGGAUGGCCCCUGCGGGGCCAGACAGAGGACCAGGAGUAGAGUGAGACAUACAGGCCU